GACGAACGCUGGCGGCGUGCCUAAUACAUGCCAGUAGAACGCUGAAGGAGGAGCUUGCUUCUCUGGAUGAGUUGCGAACGGGUGAGUAACGCGUAGGUAACCUGCCUGGUAGCGGGGGAUAACUAUUGGAAACGAUAGCUAAUACCGCAUAAGAGUAGAUGUUGCAUGACAUUUGCUUAAAAGGUGCAAUUGCAUCACUACCAGAUGGACCUGCGUUGUAUUAGCUAGUUGGUGGGGUAACGGCUUACCAAGGCGACGAUACAUAGCCGACCUGAGAGGGGGAUCGGCCACACUGGGACUGAGACACGGCCCAGACUCCUACGGGAGGCAGCAGUAGGGAAUCUUCGGCAAUGGACGGAAGUCUGACCGAGCAACGCCGCGUGAGUGAAGAAGGUUUUCGGAUCGUAAAGCUCUGUUGUAAGAGAAGAACGAGUGUGAGAGUGGAAAGUUCACACUGUGACGGUAUCUUACCAGAAAGGGACGGCUAACUACGUG
rnacentral:rRNA from 1 species